GCUGUUAACCAAGAUUCUGGCUGUCCCUCUUUCAGGGACCUAGUGUGACUGCACCUCCUCUCUUUUUUGCAGAUCAGCAUGGGCCUGUGACUUUCUGUGACUGAUAAAAUAGUCCAGCUUCCAAAAGGAGAGAAAGAAGAUAAAAAGGAGUGAGAAAAAUGUCAAAGAAAUAAGGCUGGAACACAGAUGUUGUGGGGGCUCAGCUUUGAGUUUUCAAAUAAGGACAACACGUGGGGCAACAGGAUGGAAGAAACCUGGGUCCCUGAAUGACUUCAUGGAGAAGAGCCAUUCAGCUAGCCAGGACUACUUAUAUCUGAAUUAUUAUGUAGGAGGUACGCAAACUUUUAUCUUACUUAAGCUACUGAAUUUUUUUGUGGGGGUGA